CCUACGGGGAGCAGCAGUAGGGAAUUUUCGUCAAUGGGCGCAAGCCUGAACGAGCAAUGCCGCGUGAACGAGGAAGGCCUUCGGAUCGUAAAGUUCUGUUGAAGGGGAAAAAGAGCGGAGAGAGGAAAUGGUCUCCGAUUGAUAUUACCCUUCGAGGAAGUCACGGCUAACUACGUGCCAGCAGCCGCGGUAAUACGUAGGUGGCGAGCGUUAUCCGGAAUGAUUGGGCGUAAAGGGUGCGUAGGCGGCCUGCUAAGUCUGGAGUGAAAGGUACCGGCUCAACCGGUACAGGCUCUGGAAACUGGCGGGCUAGAGAGCAGGAGAGGGCGGUGGAACUCCAUGGGUAGCGGGAAAAUGCGUAGAUAUAUGGAAGAACACCAGUGGCGAAGGCGGCCGCCUGGCCUGUUACUGACGCUGAGGCACGAAAGCGUGGGGAGCAAAUAGGAUUAGAUACCCCGGUAGUC
rnacentral:rRNA from 1 species